CCACUCCAACUUUCCCUUUGUCCCGCGACACGUAUUCGACGUGUAACUUCAUCUCUUAGGUCAAAAACAGAGUCACGCAACAGGAGGCGUGUGGGAAAAGGCAGAAUUAUUAUAAUGAUCGUGUUAAAUGUAACUCCCAAAUUCCCACGGCUCUACAUAGAAACAAGACAGAGAGAUGUUCAAUGACAGACAACUAAAUUCAGUUCAACAUUGUCAUGUCAUUGAACAAUGUCAUUUCAUUUCUUGAGGACUCAUGCAAUUCAAAUGUGGAGUGUAAUUGAUAAAUCAGGACCUCUGUUUAUGUGUUUAUUGUGUCCUUUGUGCAGCCCGAAAACCACAUUUGUCUGUGUUUGGACAUGUGACCCUUACUGGGCGGUGUCACGUGGCAACAGGUCCACUGUUAUUAGAAGAGAAACUACUGGGAAGAAUAUAAUUUAUGCAUUCACUGUGAGCAAACAUCAGUAAAACCACAGCACAGGUUGAAAUGAGAUCCCUGCAGCAGUGCAGAUGUUAGUCUGCUGCCUGUAAAAAAAAAAAAAAAUAGGGUCUUUCAGGAGUAACACAAACUUGGGACUUUGUUUUAAUAUUUUGCAAAUGAAAGAUGUGCAGCUUUAAAAGAUGAAGCAUGGUUGAAAGGUUUAUUGCAAUGACAGGCGUGUAAUGUAAUGAUCUAAAUGAGACUAUUUGAUCAGACUGACCUUUUUACGGGGAGAUCACCGAGUAAGAAAGUAUGAAAAACAUAAAAUAUUACGACAAUAAUUGUCAAAACUAGACCACACCAAGCACAUUAACACUACUUUAAUGUGUCUUCAGAUCACACACUGGUAACGAGAUGCAAUAUCUUCUUGUGUGGUUCGGGUGGUACGGUAAAAUUAAUAUGCUCCAUUUACAACCGUUAAAGAGUCACAGUUUUUUAUGGAGUCAGAAAGAACAGGUAAUGUCUGCUUUCAGCAUGACAACAUGUCUUAUCAGAUACGUUUAAGUCAAUUGAAGAUGAAUAGGGGAUCUUUAUAUUUAUUUUCAUGUAACUGGACAAACAUAGAUAUAAAGUCAAACAGAUUUCUGCAGCCACUGCCAUCAGAAUGGUCAUAUUUCUCUUACCAAAUGCUGCCACUGAUCACUGUACUCGUCAUGAAGUUUUGGAUGGAUUUUGAUGUGGCCUGACCUGCUUAUUGUUUGCUUCUCUCUGGAUUUGUGUGCACACAGCUUUGGGCUGUGUUCUCUUUUCCCAUUUCCUAAUUGCUUGUAGAGCUCAUCAGUGAAUAACUGUGUGUGUGGAGUGCGGAUCACUGGACGCACGUUGUGUGAAUCAUUAAUAAUGUUAGGCAGCUACUGAAGAGUUCUGAGCAUAAGCUGAUGAGUCAGCAGCAGGGUCCCAGAACUAGGAGUGACAAUUACGUCAACAUUCUAUUGUGGCAAGUACGUAUUUGUAUUCUUGAAUGUGCUUCCUCGAUCCCCUUCUGAUUUUUUCCACCUAUUUUAUUUUUGGAGAUCUAAUAUUAUAUCUGUUGUAUGAAACAGCUGUGCAGAUAUUUACUGUCACUCCUAGCAGCAGCAGCAUCAUUUCAAGCACACGCACAGUCCUGGUGAAAACAUACACAAGGGUUUUUAAUCUACUUUUGGUAGCACAACGCUUCACGUUUGCUCACUGCCAGAUCUAAUUAUACUGUGAGGCUGAAGAAGUUAAUAUCUACAAAGUUGAGUCGAGAUAUGUUGUGCCACCGUACGGUACAGUACAACAGACGAUGACAAGGCAUCGUGUACUUGCUGUGCUGCGGCAGAUGGUUGACUGACAUCCCGCGAGGGGGGGGCGGAGAAGGAGCAGGUGAACACGAUCAGGCAGCUAAGCCGGACGAGAUCAUAAAGCAGCCUCUGACGGGACACAACGAGUCUGUGUUGCACUGAAAAUUACAAAGUAUGUUAAAAAUGACAAUGCACUGUGGAUAUAUAGUGCAAACUGUGCAUCUACAGCACGAGCCAAAGCUCAGCCAAGUCUUUAUGGGUUUAUGGUGUUUCCGUGCAAGGAGUUGUUGUUUGUGGUUUCCCCCCAUGACUUUGUAAAUGUCUCCUUAAAGUGCUGCAUGUUUGUAUCCGUGUUUGUGUUUAGGGCUUUUAUGUGCAUGACCUAAUUCCACUGUGAGAAUUUGCAGAGAUGGCUGUGUGUGAGUGCACAUGUGCGUGUGUGUGUGUGUGUGUGUGUGAGACUAAGUGUGCACACCCCUCCCUCCACUGCUUCCUUGUAAAGCUGACAGUAAGCACACUAAGUUCAUCUAAGGACAGGGAAAUGCUUUUCUUUUCAGUGUGAAUCAUUUUGGAAAAAUGAGCCUCUGGACUGAAUUGCCCCAGCAAUUUGGCAUGUUUCUCUAUUCUGCUUCAUUGUCUAUUUUGGCUGAACUUGCAGUUCUUCAUUUCACUGCCAAGAAAACUUCAGGUCCCUUACAACAGGCAAAGCCAGUUUCUGACUGUACCACGGCCUGUACGCAAAUCAAAUAAAUCUCUGCACAAUUCUGCCAUAUCUUCCUGUUUAUCCAUUGAUUCCAAAGAGAAAAAGAGCAAGCCAUAUCUGCACUAUAAAUCCACGGUUUCCACACCUGGGAACACCGUGGAAAAGUACCUCCCUGUAAGCUUUGCAUCUUCAAUGAAAAUUGUACGGGGAAAACGACACUAGUCUACUUUUUAUAGACGUGUUUAGUACAUUUAGAUUAGGACCCUUCCGCAUUGUAAAAGCCAUUUAAAAAAAAAAAAAAAAAAGGUAUCUGCUUUCUCACUCAAGCAGUUUAGAGAACAAAACUGCAGUGCAGUGAAAGAAAGUAGGAGAGGGAGCGGUUUUGGGAUGUAGACAAGGAGGAAGGGAGGGCGAUGGAGGGGGGGGGACUUUUAAUUUUGUAGUCCACCAGCCCCCUUGUAAUUCUACUGGUUCCCCCAUGAGAAGGAGCAGAAAGAAGAGAGGAGUGGCCUGUUUUGAGGUUUGCCUGAGCCAGUGGUGAGCUGUUGCAGCUGGCAGCUGGGCUCUCACUACCUAUGUCCUCCAGCUCCAGCCUGAAUUAUGAAGGCUCGGGAAUGGCAGUCAGCCUAAUUACAAUGACUGAUUGCUUGUCCGUUGGCAUUUCUCAGACAGUGAUUGUCAUGUGUGUGCAUGUGUGUGUGUGUGUGUGUGUGUGUGUGUGUGUGUGGGGUACAAGGGAAAGGAGGGACAUUUCUCAUUGGCCUUCCCCUUCCUUUCUUUGCAUGAGAACAGCCAGAGAUUCCGAUCUGAUUGGCUGGAGAGAAAAGAGAUGGUUCAUGAUUUGGCAAAGCAGAAUUUUUGGGAAGCCAGAGACAGGUGAUGUUGCACGGAUGGUGCAGUGUCGCCUAUUAAGUCGUCACCAAAUACAUCAAAAAAGGCUGCACUGUGAGAGCUUCACCACAGAAGACAUAUUGGGUUAUCUUUGCUGUUAUUUACCAACCGAACAACAAGGAUAUUUAUGUAGAAGACCUAUGCUGAUUCUCUCCCACCUGUUGAUUUGUUAUAGUUUGUCCCACUGGUAAAAAUGAAAUGAAGAAAACAAAGACAGACGCAUCUUGGAUUGAGCAUUUGUACGUCAGUAGCACUCCGAAGUGUGAUGUGUGUGUUAAGUGGGAGCUGGUUUGAGUUGGUCUGCCCUGCUUUGUCCAAUGCUUUGGCUUUUGUUCCUCAAGUAAUUAAUUGUGGAAGCCUUGGCUUCAGCUGGAGUGUCUCAUAGCAACUGAAAAGAGAGAGGCAGAGCUGGUAAAAUGGUGAGCGGGCAACGGGAGAUCAGGUUUUUCUGUCAAGUCUAGGCUUUUGAAUUGGUACUUUGUGACAAAUUCACAUCACCAGUAUAUCAUAUUUGUCACCUUUUAUGUCAAAAUGUCAGUGUUUUUGAUCUAAGUUGCAUCAUUCUCCGAAAUGCUUCUUAUUUGUGUGUGUUUACUAUUGACUACUAACCUAGAUUACACUUGUAGUGCAUUGCAAUAGUGGAAUGAAGUGAUGAGAGCAUAAUAAACAAAAGAACAAUGACAUAGACAUACUAGACAGUCCAGUCUGGUGACAGAGAUCGAUCUUUUCAAUCGUUCAAUUUUGUCAAAUAUAUGGAUGAUCAAAGUCAAUGUUUCCAGCAUACCACUAUUUUAAUUUAAACAAAACAAAUCUGGACCUUUUUUUUCCAUUCACCUGCUGCUGCCACUUCAUGUAUUUAGCACCUGCUGACGUUUAAGCAUCUUGAAUAUCCAGUGGCACUUUUCAUUAACUGAAACCUGGUACCACUCUGUGGUCAUGGCAGGUCUCGGGUCAACUGUCGACUUUCGCCUGAACCGCGUGUGUGUGUGUUGAGAUUUGUAACAUUUGAUUACACACAGAUAAGCAACAUCAUUAAGACUUGUUAGCAGUUGUGAAUGAUCAGUGUGCAUGUGUGUGUGUGCGCAUUCACGCCAGGCUGCUUUUUGCUUUUUUAACUGGCAGCCAGUGCUAAAACUUGGCCAUGUUUGCCCUGUGACCCAGACACUACCUGUCUGCUGCCAUGGUUACAGGGACAGAGCAGGUUUAGUGGCCUGACUCAAGGGAUUACUUUCCCUGGUCUUAACAAUCAGGCCUCUGCCCCAGUGGCUGUAAAAUGGACCAAACUGCAACCUAACAGUUAAGCAAACUCUACAGUUUGCCCUAGUGGCCUUUAAAACGGUUCUAAGUGCUGUGCAAGAGAUUAGACAUGUACAUUGUAAUUGCUCUGGUAUCAGUGACUGUCCCUUUGUGAUCAGGUUCACUUGUAGUGAUAAGCUCUUAAAUGAAAGAGCUCACGGUACACAGAGGAUACAGGUCUGAGCUCUGGAACACAUUUGAAAUCUUCAUUCUUAGGUUUAAUUAACUACAUUUUCCACCUUUACGGACGAUGUUUUUUGUUUUUUUUCUGUUUACCCAACAGAUCAAUGAAUGAAAUGAGGACAGCAAUCAUGACACAGUCAUUGCAGUGAAAUGGGCUUUGACUUAAGCCACAGGCACAGACAUUUUGGUCAACAAGUGGAAUCAUGGACAGACAGACUGGCGAUCGCAUCAGCGUCGUGAGUGGAGGCUACCUGACAUGCUGCUGAAACCAGGAUGGAGGAAGGAGGUGAUAGGCCACUGUGCCUCCCCCUCCUUUGCUGUGUGUUGCUGAGCAGGUGAGAAACAUUAACAGAGGCAGCAGCAGCAGCAGCAGCAGCAGCAGCAGCAGCAGCUGCGGCCCUCUGCUCCACACAUGUGGGCCAGGAUAUGAGCUCGCUCAAGCUCGCCCACUCUCAACAUUGGUCACAAAUGUUAACACUCUUUUCUCUGAAACACAGGGGGAAAAAAAUCCUGAGAAAGAAAGUGGACACGUGUUACCUGAAAUAAAAGCCGUCUUCUUUUAUGAUUGUAUGUCGUUGUGUGUAUAAUGCUCAGUUCCAAAAGGUUUCUGGCUGUUGACUCUCUGCUUGUCGCGUGUUUGCAUUGUAAAUGUUGGCGAAGCGUUUCAAGCUAACGUUAAACAAGAGAGAGAUUAUCUCACAGAAUCAUUACUUGUUAUGUGAGAUCCCAACCUUCAGGCUGUGUAACAAUGCUGUCACAUGGUGAAAAGCUCAUUUCACCACCAUCUUUCAGCAUUGAUAACACACCGACUUGAUGCAGACCAGUAUUAAAUGUUCAAAGAAACUAUUUUCAGUAAAAUCCUCAAUUUUAAAGGUCACAUUGCCCUUUUGAGUUACAUUCUGCGUGUAUUUGAAUAUGCAAAUACCUUGGCUAUGAAAUUUGCUUGGUACAUAUGCACCUUGCUGAAUAAUUUGAAUUCCUAUUCAGCUCAAAGCCAUGAACUGGAUGACCCAGUCAUCACGUUGUCUUUUGAACUCAAAGAUUGCUGUCACACCAGUGAGGUGUCCCAGAGGAGAGUGGCAUGUGUAUUUGUGUUUCUGUGAAUCUUAACUGCUGUGUCAUAGUCAGUGAGGUGUGUCAAAGCACAUUGCCGGCAUGAAGACAGAGACCCGAAAGGAGUUUGUUUUUAAACACUGUCCUUUGGGGUGAGGUAGUAGGUUGUAUAGUUUUAGGGUCAUACCCUUCCUGUCAGAUAACUAUACAACUUACUGUCUUUCCUGAAGUGGCUGUAAUGUCGUCAGAUGCCUUUUUUGGAGCUUUUGGAUCGGGAAUCAUCAGUGGAAUGACCCACACUGACUGCUUCAGACCUAAUAAAAAAUGAUAACGGUAGGUUGGUCAGUAUUGUUGUAAAUAAUGUUGAUUUCUAUCCCAUGAUUUUCAUAUUUUGUCCUAAGACAAUAUUGAAUAAUGAUUCAGGUAUAGUCUUUUGCUGGUUCUGUUUGUUUCCGUGCAACAGUCAACUCAUAUCUUAUUAAAUCACUUUGUCUGUUUUACCUAAUUGUCACUCUUUAUGUUGUUAUUCCUUAUUUAUUUUAUUUCUUGCAGUAUUUUUAUUGUCAAAAUGUAUAUAGGUGUAUUUAUCAUGCAUUUCUUUUAUUUUUUUUACCAUAAUAAUAGUAACUCUUUUACGACGUAGAAUUAUACAUCCCGACAAAGCUUUAUAGCCAGAAGGAGCUCUCUGAUGUUCGUACGGGGUGAGGUAGUAGGUUGUGUGGUUUCAGGGUAGUGAUUUUGCCCAAUCAGGAGAUAACUAUACAACCUACUGCCUUCCCUGAAGGGCAGCAAUACUUCACCAGACAGACAACAGGGAGUGUCAAUGUGGCAACAUGUACAACAAGUAUAUAUGUUUAAAAAAAAAACAAAGAUUAACAGGACUUACCUGCUUUACGUCAAUAAAGUAAAGCAGGUCUGAUGUCCAAGCCCCAAGUCAUCAAGUCAUUUCUUACCUGGAGUGUAAAAUUUAACAAUCAUUCAUAGCCCAGCAGACAGAACCAGCAGAUAAGGUUUGUUCUCUGGAAUUUCAGAAAUUUUUUUACAUUUCUGCUUUGAGCAAAAAUAAAAAAAUAAAUUGAUAAUA